CUAGUAAACAAUAAAUGCGAAAGUGUGCUUGUUUGUUGGUUUAUUGGUUAGUCCUUCAAUCGCAUCGCAACGGAACAACGGAUCAACGAGAUUUCUUGCAUGGGUAUAGAUAAAGACCUGGCGAGUGACAUAGGCUACUUUUUAUCCCGAAAAAUCAAAGAAUUCCCACGGGAUAUUUUAAAAACCUAAAUCCACGCGGACGAAGUCAGUAAUCAGCGGGUAUCAGCCAGU